rnacentral:misc_RNA from 1 species
GAUGAAGAACGCAGCGAGAUGCGAUAAGUAAUGUGAAUUGCAGAAUUCAGUGAAUCAUCGAAUCUUUGAACGCACAUUGCGCCCGCCAGUAUUCUGGCGGGCAUGCCUGUUCGAGCGUCAUUUCAACCAUCAAGCCCCCGGCUUGUGUUGGGGACCUGCGGCUGCCGCAGGCCCUGAAAAGCAGUGGCGGGCUCGCUGUCACACCGAGCGUAGUAGCAUACAUCUCGCUCUGGGCGUGCUGCGGGUUCCGGCCGUUAAACCACCUUCAUAACCCAAGGUUGACCUCGGAUCAGGUAGGAAGACCCGCUGAACUUAAGCAUAUCAAUAAGCGGAGGA